rnacentral:tRNA from 1 species
GGACGGGUGGUGGAAUGGCAGACACGUACGGCUUAGGACCGUAUGCCGCAAGGCGUAAGGGUUCAAGUCCCUUCCCGUCCA